UAAGCUCAGGGUCAAGUUCUGAGCAAAAAGUGUCAAGGAGCCUUUUUGUAACCUCCUAUACUAUUGAAACAGAUUCUGUGCCCUUUAAAGGAGAUAAUAACUAACAUCUGGGGAGCGCUUUACAAUUUAGAAAAGGCCUUUCACACACAGGCCUGUUUCAUCUUCACAACAAUCUUAUAAAACAGAUAUAUUGUUCCCAUUUCCCAAAUAAUGAAACCGAAGCGCUGAAAAGCUGGAGUACAAUGGCACAAUCUCAGCUCACCGCAACCUCCACCUCCUGGGUUCAAGCGAUUCGCUUGCCUCAGCCUCCCGAGUAGCUGGGAUUACAGGUUCCAAGUCUCUUCUUCGGCCUCUCAAACGUGGUGCCAUCCCUAAUGAAGUCAACAGGGGUCCAGCAUGACAGGAUGGAAGUACAAGUGUCAGCACCUA